UGAGGAUCAAGAAGCCGGACUACAAGGUCGCCUACGUGCAGCUGGUGCGUGAGCAGUAUCCCCUCCUUCUCGUGAACCCGAGCCACAUGCUGUGGCCUGGGCUGGGGCUUGGCUGACACGGACAUAUUCUGAACUCUCAGCAGAAGAUGUAAGACCAGUUAAUUGGCAGAGCCGGUCCUGAUUUAUCAACUGCCGCACGUGCAUGUUUCUUCGCCCAUGGACAGACCUUCACGUUCCCAGAUCUGUUUCCCGAGAAAGACGAGAGCCCUGAAGGCAGCGCUGCCGACGACCUCUACAGCAUGCUCGAGGAGGAGAGGCAGCAGAGGCAGAGCAGCGACCCGCGGCGGGGCGGCGUCCCCAGCUGGUUCGGGCUGUGACGGGGUGGCCAGCAGGGACGCGCCCCAGGUGGGCAGCUGUGGCAGAGCAGCGACCCGCGGCGGGGCGGCAUCCCCAGCUGGUUCGGGCCGUGACGGGGCGGCCAGCAGGGACGCGCCCCAGGUGGGCAGCUGUGGCAGAGCAGUCCCGACACCUAAAUAAAAGUCUUGCUGCAGG
rnacentral:lncRNA from 1 species